UACGUAGGGUGCGAGCGUUAAUCGGAAUUACUGGGCGUAAAGUGUGCGCAGGCGGCCGAGCAAGUCGAGUGUGAAAGCCCCGGGCUUAACUUGGGAAUUGCGCUCGAAACUACUUGGCUGGAGUGUGGCAGAGGAAGGUGGAAUUCCAGGUGUAGCGGUGAAAUGCGUAGAGAUCUGGAGGAACACCGAUGGCGAAGGCAGCCGUCUGGGCCGAUACUGACGCUGAGGAGCGAAAGCGUGGGGAGCGAACAGG
rnacentral:rRNA from 1 species